AACGGAUUCUCCUACCUCAGCCUUCUGAGUAGCUUGGGACAGCCGUGCACCACCACGCCCAGCUAAUUUUUUGUUUGUUUGUUUUUGUACAGACAGGGUUUCAGCAUGCUGCCCAGGCUGGUCUUGAACUCCUGGGCUCAAGUGAUCCACCUGACUCAGCCUCCCAAAGUGCUGGGAUUAAAGGGAAUUUUCUGUUGGGUAUUGCUGCUCAUCUAGAAAACACCAGCUACCAAUAGAUGUCCUCUCUGUGCCGAAAUACUGCUUACCUCAGGGGAUAUUGGCUUGCUUGCUUCCUUUUCUGCCACCGCCCUCCCCCACACCCCCCACCAUGCAAAUCCCCCUGGGAAAGAAGAAAGUUGGACAGGAACAAGAUAGGUUAGACACUUACAAAUCAACUCAUCAACAAGUCACAGAAGGCAUAAUUUUAAUUCUGAAAGAGAAUAUAAAUCCUAUGAGCCCUGGCAAUGUCCACAUUGAAAUUUAUGACAAUAGUUUGGGAGGUGGAAGCAGAGAAAGAGACCUGAUGGGCGUGUGGGAACCCUACUAUUAAAUAGCACAGAGGGAAGAGGAACUGUUUUAAGGUGAAAGACUACAGAAUAAAGUUUUGAGAAUAUUAUUUAAAGUCCUGAUGGUAACCGAUAGAAAACCUAGAAAUAAGAUUGUAUCUGACUAAAUAUGGGACAAGUCAGGAGGAGUGUAGAGUAAUAUUGUGUGACUGAGCACAAUCCCCACAUUUGGUAGCCCCUGAGAUGGACUCCCGUGAUCCCUGACCCGAGCUAUUGUAACACUUUGUAAUCCCAUCCGUUUGACCAUAGACCAGACUUACUGACUUCUAACAAAUAGGAUACAACAGAAGUGUUGAGAUGUCACUUCCCAGAUUAGUUUACGCAGAAACUUUGGCUUUAUCUGAGGCACCCACUCUAUUGCUCUCCGGAUUGCUCCAAGGGAAGACAGCUGCCAUUUGAUGAGCUGCCCACAUGACAGAGAACAGGCCAAUAGCCCUCAAAGAAUUGAAACCUACCAACCAGGGGAGUGAGAUUGGAAGCAUAUAUUCCUUCGAUUAAGAGUUCAGAUGAGAAGACAGUUCCUGCCAAUACCUUGAUUGCAACCUUAUGAGAAAUCUUGAGGUGGAGACCUAGCUAAACCAUGCCUAGAUUCCCGACUCACAGACUGUGAGAUAAUAUACUAAAAAUACAUCACUAAUUUAGAAUAAAAAUCAAACAAGCUGUCGAAGAAUGUACACAAAAGUUGAAAAAAUAUUACACCAAAGAUGAUAGACAAAGCACGGCAAUCCAUUCUAAGAAAAGAGGUAUUUGCAAGGGCAAAUGAGAACAAAUGGAGCCAAAGCAAUAAAUUAAGAGAGGAAAAUUUUUGUAAGCUAUAAAAAUGAUCUGAGCUUGUAGUCAAAAGGAGUCAAGAUAUUGCAUGCAACAUUGAUGAGUAGAGACCCAUGCUUAGAAAUCAUCUGAAAAAAAGUAUUUUAGAAAUAAAGGGAGUAAGCCUGUAAAUGUUCAGGAAGAAUACAUGGAAUUGAUAUUUUUUAAAAUAACUAAAAUUCAUUCUCCUCCAAUACACUGGCCACAAAAAAGUGAAGCAACUUUUAUAUGAAAUGAAAAAAAGUGGUUGUCUUCUAAAGUUGUGCACAAAAGCCACUGAAAGACAUGCUCAGACAUAAAAGGGCUAUGAAAGUAAACAACUAUUAACUCUUCUUUUAAAAAAUAUGUAUAAACUGUAUUUAAUUGAAUGAGCAAUAAAAUAUUAAGAAAAUGGGAUACAUAAGUCUGCG
rnacentral:lncRNA from 1 species